rnacentral:rRNA from 1 species
UACGUAGGGGGCGAGCGUUGUCCGGAAUUAUUGGGCGUAAAGAGCGUGUAGGCUGUUCGGUAAGUCUGCCGUGAAAACCUGAGGCUCAACCUCGGGCGUGCGGUGGAUACUGCCGGGCUAGAGGACGGUAGAGGCGAGUGGAAUUCCCGGUGUAGCGGUGAAAUGCGCAGAUAUCAGGAGGAACACCAGCGGCGAAGGCGGUGCUCUGGGCCGGAACUGACGCUGAGGAGCGAAAGCGUGGGUAGCGAACAGG